CUUCUCCUCACAUCUUCUCUUGACCUAAUUUUCCUUACGGCGGCUGCGGCAAUUUUUUCACCUUCUCUGGACUGGUUUGGAUUUGACGUGGCUGGGAGAGACUUUCGGUUUUAUUUACCUUUGUUAGGCAACAUGCAGAAUGAAAGAAGUUGGAUGUAUAAUAAAAAUUUACCUGACCGUGGGGGUUUAACUGAUGAGUUUAUUACUGGGUUGAGACAGUUUUUAAAUUUUGCAUCUAGUAAUGUUGAGUUUAUGGAUGGUAAUCAGAUACGAUGUCCAUGCAGAAAGUGUCAUAAUGGAAAAUUUUUACCAUCUAAUAAAGUUUCAGAGCAUCUUUGUAGAUUUGGUUUUACUCCGAAUUACUAUAAUUGGACAUGUCAUGGUGAAUCAUUCAUAUCUGAUGAGGAUUGUUAUGGACACAACAUACAAGUCUCUAGGGAUCAAAGUUAUUAUAAUCAAUUAAAUCCAUAUCAAAGAAUGAUAUUUGAUGCAGCGGCUCCGAAUUUAAUUCCUGAACCACAUGGUGCCAGUUCUAGCUGCCCUCCA